rnacentral:lncRNA from 1 species
AUGAAAGUAAACUGGUCAUAAUAAGGGAAAAUGCGAUAUCUAAGUUGACCGACUGCUUUAUGACUCUAUAAAAAAAGAAUGAACUCACAUUAGAUAUAAGUUUGGUCAAAACAAGAUAAUAAAGACAAGAAAUAAUUAUUACACAUAUAUAUGAGUUCCACACAACAUCUUCAGCAACAACCAUCUGCCUAUGCUCGUCCCAACCAAAACCGCUAUUGUCUUUUACACAUAGCAUGUCGUAAACGAUUGUCCAAUCCCUU